CGAGUGAAGCGGUAAAAGCUCAAAUUUGAAAUCUAGUACCUUCGGUGCUCGAGUUGUAAUUUGUAGAGGGAUACUUUGGGGCCGUUCCUUGUCUAUGUUCCUUGGAACAGGACGUCAUAGAGGGUGAGAAUCCCGUGUGGCGAGGAGUGCGGUUCUAUGUAAAGUGCUCUCGAAGAGUCGAGUUGUUUGGGAAUGCAGCUCUAAGUGGGUGGUAAAUUCCAUCUAAAGCUAAAUAUUGGCGAGAGACCGAUAGCGAACAAGUACAGUGAUGGAAAGAUGAAAAGAACUUUGAAAAGAGAGUGAAAAAGUACGUGAAAUUGUUGAAAGGGAAGGGCAUUUGAUCAGACAUGGUGUUUUGUGCCCUCUGCUCCUUGUGGGUGGGGGAAUCUCGCAGCUCACUGGGCCAACAUCAGUUUUGGCGGCAGGAUAAAUCUAUAGGAAUGUAGCUUGCUUCGGGAAGUGUUAUAGCCUGUGGGAAUACUGCCAGCCGGGACUGAGGACUGCGACUUUGUCAAGGAUGUUGGCAUAAUGGUUAAAUGCC
rnacentral:rRNA from 1 species